UGAGACCUUAUGAUACCAUACAUUGUAAGGUAUGAUGUUUUCUGGUGAUAUAGCAUCAGGAAUCACUCCACAAUCUUAUGAACAAACGGUGAUCAAAAACUGAUCAAUAAGCUUUAGCGGAAGAUGGAAACGAAGAUAGAGGUGGUGGUAAAGCUUGAUUGACUCUCUCAAUCGGUGGGCUUGAUUGACUCUCGCAAUCCGUGGAGAACUAGACUUGUUUGAAUCACAU